rnacentral:tRNA from 1 species
GCCGGAUUAGCUCAGUUGGUAGAGCAGCUGAUUUGUAAUCAGCAGGUCGGGGGUUCAAAUCCGUCAUCCGGCUCAA